rnacentral:lncRNA from 1 species
GCUCUUCCCUCCUUUGUCUGCAGGAGUUUCCUUCCUUCCAGGCUUUCUUUCUUUCUUUUCUUUCCUUUUUUUUUUAAAUCCCCUAGGGAAAGCCUGGGCCAGUCUGGCCCCCAGACAAGCCCCCUGUGGAGGCAGAGCCAGGACUGCCUUCUUGGACCUUCUCUCCUUCCCUUCCCUGCCGACUCCCUUCUCCCCACUUGCCUUAGGGACCAUUUAUUUGCUGUUUGGGAGUCAAACACCCUGGGGAACGGCAAUUGCUUUCUUUCACCACUAGGGGUCCAUAGAGAGAACUAUUCGGUUCAUAGAAUCGGAGAUGUUGAGCUGGACCAGACCUUAAGAGACCAUCCAGUCCUUCAUUUUACAGGACAGGGAACUGAGUCCCAGAGAAGUCCAGGCACUUGUCCAAGGUCCAACAGAAGGAGAGCCAAGCAAAGGUCCAGGUGGACCAGUGGCCCAUUAUGUUGUCCCCAGGCUAAAUGUGAGCUAGCCUUUGUCAUAAGGUUGGCUCCUUUUUGACCUCCAGUCAUGCCAGGCUGCUGACGGUGGAGAAUCUCCCUGGGCUCUCAAGGAAUCCAGACUGAGCAAUUUCCCAAGGGCAGAGACUGUUCACUUUUGUCUUUAGAUGGGAUGGGCGUCUUCCAUGCCUAGCACACAGCCCACUUAAUAAACGCUUAAUUGAUUGUUCUUUUCA